rnacentral:rRNA from 1 species
GAUGAACGCUGGCGGCGUGCUUAACACAUGCAAGUCGAACGGGAUCCAAGGGGUGCUUGCACUUUUUGGUGAGAGUGGCGAACGGGUGAGUAACACGUGAGUAACCUGUCCUUUUCUUUGGGAUAAGCAUUCGAAAGGGUGUUUAAUACCUUAUGUUCUGUCUGCCUCGCAUGGGGUGGGUGGGAAAGGCUUUGGCCGGAUUUGGGUGGGCUCGCGGUCUAUCAGCUUGUUGGUGGGGUGAUGGCUUACCAAGGCUUUGACGGGUAGCCGGCCUGAGAGGGUGGUCGGUCACAUUGGGACUGAGAUACGGCCCAGACUCCUGCGGGAGGCAGCAGUGGGGGAUAUUGCACAAUGGGCGAAAGCCUGAUGCAGCGACGCCGCGUGGGGGAUGAAGGCCUUCGGGUUGUAAACUUCUUUUGCUCUGAACAAGGCAUGCCAGUGGGUGUGUUGAGUGUAGGGGUUGAUUAGCGCCGGCUAACUACGU